AUGUUCCCUUUUGCUCUGCUGUCACAGCUGCUGCUGUUAGCAGCCAUGUCUUGUGUCCAGUGUCAGGUUCUCACCCAGUCUGAACAAUCAGUGGUUGUGUCUCCAGGUGGAGUCCACAAACUCACCUGUGCCUGCAGUGGAUUUAGUGUUAGUGGUGCUUAUAUGCACUGGGUCCGUCAGGCUCCUGGAAAAGGACUGGAAUGGAUCAUUUACUAUUAUUCUGAUAGCAGCAAGAACACAGCCCAGGCAGUGCAGGGCCGCUUCACAGCAUCCAAGGACAGCUCUAAUUUCUACCUUCAUAUGAACCAACUGAAGACUGAGGACACUGCAGUUUAUUACUGUGCUAGAGAUUCACUGUGA